CUCGAGAACCAUUGCUAGUAUUCAUAAAAGAUUUGUUUCACAACUCAAAUUGUAAAUAAGUGAGAUAAUGAUUAAGAAUUAAAAAGGUAUUUAUCUUCAAUUCAAAUUCUUUAAGUAUUUAUUUUUAAUUCAAGUUGAAGAUAACUACAAUUAUGAUAAAGAAUCAAAAAAAAUAUUUAUCUUCAACUUAAAUUCAUAAAAUAAUAGUUUUUCAGCUUAAAUUUGAAUUGCAAUUUUUUUUUUAUAUAUGGAAUAAAAAAUAUAUAUUCAUGUUCAACUUGAUUUUUAGUCCUUUCUAAUAUACAAAACACAUACACCGAUCAUGUUAGUGACUAUAUGGAGACUUUGUCUAUUAAAUAUUUAAAUUUGUUUUUAUAAUUAAAAGUAAUACUAAAUAUUAUACAAAUAAAAAUAAUAUUCUAUUUUGCAUACUUAAUUAGGUGAAUUCUUCAUUCUAUUUUAAUACUUCUACAAUAAUUUUGAUAAUUUGUGUAACAAAUUUUAAAAUGUUUUUAAAACUAUAAUCAAUAAUAACUAUCUAAACAUUUGUAUUAUUAUGUGAAUUACAAUAAUUUAUAUAUACCUAUUUAUAUUUUACAAAAUAUUAGAAUAAAUAUUAUACUGUCCAUUAAAAAAUAAAUAUUAAUUAUCAAAUUGUAAUUAAAUAUAAUAUAUUAUCAAUAUGAUCGUCUUAGUUCAUGCAUCCAUUUAUCUCUGUAUCCUAUUAUUGAUACAAUUUUCUUCAAUAUAAUAUGCCCACUUAUGAGCUCAUUCUGAUACUCAAAAAAUCCUAUUAGAAAAUCUGUAUUAUGGUAUAACUAGGUAACUUGGCCGCGCUAUGCGCGGUCAUAAAAUAUUAUAUCAAAAAUAUAAAUUAAAUUUUUGAUAUUAUUUGAAUAUAAAAGAGUUAUUAGUUCAAAAUUAAUUAAAUAGAUUAAAAUUUAAAUUUGAAUUCAUCUUAUUAUUCACACUGAACUAAUUUCUAACAUAUAAAAUAUACUAUUACAUGAAAGAAGGAAAAGUACUUUUUUUAUUUUUCGUUAAAUAUAAAUUGAUUAAAGAUAAACAAAGCUCACUAAAAAGAUUAUUUGAGAAAAAGAGAAGAAAAUAGUUUAUCCAUAACAAAGUGAAAAUAGUUGUAUUUAUAUGCCGGAAAUUAUAACGUAUACAGAUUUAAAAAGUAGAGCUUAGAAAAUAAAAUAAAAAAUAAAACUAAUCAUUUUUUGUAAUUUACACACAAUAUAUAUGUAAUAAUUAGCUUACUUGUAUAUAUAAUAUGUAAUUUCGUGAAACAUCGUAGAUUGAAGAAAGAGAAUUUUUAAUUUCUUCUUCACUUAUACUUUAAAAAAAUAUACUUAAUAACAUAAAGUUUAUAAUGUGAAAAUAAUAAUAAUAAAAAGACUGAAUCAACCGGUAAUUAUAUGAUAAUUGAAACAUAUUGCGAAAUUUAUAAAAAUAAUUUGAUAAAUAGAAAUUGUGAUGUCUAAAACAAAAAAUGAGCAUACAUAAACUAUAUUAAAUUUAAAUUGCUAAGUAUAGUUUGAUUGUCUAGUUAAUUAUAUUUUUAUAGGCAUGAAGGUGACAUCUGGAUAAUCAAAAUGCUAUAGUAAUUUUGGUCACUUCACAGAUAAUAAAGAACUUGUUUUAACUUUUUUAUAUUUUUUACACUUUCUUACUCCCUUCAUUUCAAAAUAAAUGUUUAUUUUUUAUUUUUUAUUUUGCUUUGAAUCGUGUUUUACAUAAUCAUGAAGACUUUAAUGAUAUUUUCUUUUUCAAUUUUAUCCUUAUUUAAUCAAAAGAAAUUUAUAUAACCAAAAAGCUGGGUCAAAGAACUAUAUUUUUUUACAAGAUAUAUAUUAAAAUUAAUUUAGUAAAAAUAUCUUACUGUAUAGUCCCGCCCCAAACUAAAAAACAAAGUUGACAUACUAUGAAAAGGUGAAUAUCAUGGAACUGAAGAGUACAUAACAAAAUGAAAUUGAAUUACACUAACUUAUGUCUUAGUAGUUAUGUGAUGAAGACUUUAAGAAAAAGUAAGGAAAACACUAUUUCAAAUAUGAAAUAAAAAAGAUAAUCUCAAGUAGGGUUUCAUGAAAUAAAUAAUUAUGAACUUAUAUAAACAAAAUUGAGGAAUCUUUAAAGCAAAAAUAUAAAUAGUUCUAUCUGCAAUAGUAUUUUUAAACCUUUGUUAGUAGUUAGUAUUAUUACACAUAAAGUUACAAUAACUAAUUUGCAUCUAAACAAAAAACAUACUUGCAAUAAUAAAAUAUUAUAAAAAUUCAAACUAAAGAGAAGUUACAUGGAGAAUAAAAGCACACACAUCUUUCUUGGAACCUUAUCAUAAGAAAAUAAAUAAAAAUAAGAAUACAAAAUCAAUGCCCACUUUUUUUAUCUCUUGUCCGACACCCUCUUUGACAAACUAAUCAACAUUCAAGAGUCUUCUUCAUCGUGUCAAGUUAAAGCAUGAAAUGGAUAAUAUAAUAAUUACUACAAAGAACAAUGAAAUAUAAAGAAUAAUCUUGAGUUGGAAUUUCAUGAAACAAAAAACUUGUGAAUUUAUAUUGAUAAAAAAAUAGAGAGAUAUCAUAAAAGUAUCUUAAAUUUUAUAAUUUAAUAGUUGGGGGAUAUGAAUAUGAAAACUUAAAAGUCAUGGAAUUAAUGAUAUUAUUAAAAAUUGAAGUUUAAUAGAUUUAUAUUAUGGAGGUAAAACUUAAAACUUAAAUAAAAAAGAAAAAACACAAAUACAGUGCAUAAAAGAAAUACAUUUAUAUUCUAUAAAAAUAUUAUUUUUUUGAAUUGAAUAAAUAAAAAGAAAAAUAAAAAAAAGAGAAAAGAAAGGGAAAAAAAUAUAAAAUCAAUAAAAAUCAUAAAAUUUAACUAUCGUGAAUAGUUUGUUGGAAUUCUUUUUAAAUCAAAUGAAAAAGUUUGUAAUAAUUGAUGAGAAUUUGAGAAAUAUUAUAGGAAAAGAGAAUAAUAACUUUAAUGACAAAUAAAUUAAAUAUGGCUAUUGAUGAAAAUAUAAUUAAAUAUGAUUAGUUUUAAUGGUCUUUUAUGUUUUAGGUGAAGUUUUUGGUAUUUUAAAAUUAGAUAAAAGGCCAAAAAAGAUAAAUUUGAUUGAAACCCUUGGAGAGGGUCAUAUCACUGUUUUUAUAUUCAGAUUUACUAUUAUAUAUAAAUUUGUAAUAAAUUAAAUAUUUCACUUUUACAGCAAAAUAUUAGUGAAAAUAAAAGAAAAAAGAUAAAUACAAAUAAAGGUUUUAGAGAAAUGCCACAUAUUAUACAAGAAAAGACAAAUAAAUCAUACCUUUUACAAUGAAUUCUGGAUACAUAUCAUGAAAAAAUUUCUGGAUACAUAUUUAGAAAAUAUAUUUUUCAUGUAAUUAAAUACACAUAUUUAUGCAAUUUAUAUAUGGAACAUAUUCAUCUUACCUUAUUCUAUAGUAUCAUCUGCUUUUUUUUUUUAACAUCCAAAUUCAAAAUCAUAAAUCUCUACUUAUAGAAUCGGGAAAAGAACAAAAUUUAUGUUAGCAUAUUUUUAUAAAAAAAUUACAAAUAAAAAUGUAAACAAAUGAAGGAUGAAGAAUAAUUAUUUAAAAACCAUGUGAAAGUAGUUACCGAAGAAAAAAAUAUAUGUUUAACUGAGUAAGGAAAAUGACUAAAAGAAAGGAGAGGAUGAAAGUAAAGCAAAAAUAUAGUAAAGUAAAGCUUUGAGUAGUAGUUUUUAUAGACUUGAAACGACAAUAAAUGUGUAAUUAAAAGGUAAGAAAUUAAUUAGAAUUUAACUUUUAAUAUGGCCACGUUUUAGGAGACGUUUUAAAACGGCAAUACCAUUUAUCUUGUGUAUUUAAUAUUUUUUUGACAAUUUUUUAAUAAAAAUGAAAAAAAAAUGCUAAGAAAAUAAAAAAAGAGAUAUCAUAAAGUAUCUUAAAUUUUAUAAUUUAAUAGUUGAAGGCUAUGAAUAUGAAAACUUAAAAGUCAUGGAGUUAAUAAUAUUAUUAAAAAUUGAAGUUUAAUAGAUUUACGUUAUGGAGGUAAAACUUAGAAAUUAAAUAAUAAAAAAACACAAAUAAAGUAUAUAAAAGAAAUACAUUUAUAUUAUAUAAAAUAUAAUUUUUUUAAUUGAAUACAUAAAAAGAAAAGUAAAAAAAGAGCAAAGAAAGGAAAAACUAUAAAAUAAAUAAAAUCAUAAAAUUUAACUAUCGUGAAUAGUCUGUUGGAAUUCUUUUUAAAUCAAAUGAAAAAGUUUGUAAUAAUUGAUGAGAAUUUGAGAAAUAUUAUAGGAAAAGAGAACAAUAACUUUAAUGAUAAAACAAAUUAAAUAUGGCUAUUGAUGAAAAUAUAAGUAAAUAUGAUUAGUUUUAAUGGUCUUUUAUGUUUUAGGUGAAUAUUUUGGUACUUUAAAAUUAGAUAAAAGGCCAAAAAAGAUAAAUUCAAUUGAAACCCUAAAAGAGGGUCAUGUCACAGUUUUUAUAUUCAGCUUUACUAUUAUAUAUAAAUUUGUAAUAAUUAAAUAUUUCACUUUUACAGUAAAAUAUUAGUUUAAAUAAAAGAAAAAAGAUGAAUACAAAUAAAGGUCUUAGAGAAAUGCCACAUAUUAUACAAAGAAAAGACAAAGAAAACAUACCUUUACAAUGAAUUAUGGAUACAUAUCAUGAAAAAUAUUCUGGAUACAUAUUUAGAAAAUAUAUUUUUCAUGUAAUUAAAUACACAUAUUUAUGCAAUUUAUAUAUGGAACAUAUUCAUCUUACCUUUUUCUAUAGUAUCAUCUGCUUUUUUUUGAACGUCCAAAUUCAAAAUCAUAAAUCUAUAUCUAUAGAACCUGGAAAAGAACAAAAUUUAUGUUAGCAUAUUUUUAUAAAAUCUUUACAAAUAAAAAUGUAAACAAAUGAAGGAUGAAGACUAAUGAUUUAAAAAACCAUGUGAAAGUAGUUACAAAAGAAAAUAUAUAUGUUUAAAUGAGUAAGGAAAAUGACUAAAAGAAGGGAGAGGAUGAAAGUAAAACAAAAAUAUAGUAAAAUCAAGCUUUCAGUGGUAUUAGUUUUAUGGACUUGAAAUAACAAUAAAUGUGUAAUUAAAGCUAAAAAUUAAUUAGAAUUUGACUUUUAAUAUGACCACGUUUUAGGAGACGCUUUAAAACGGUAGUACCAUUUAUCUUAUGUAUUUAAUUUUAUUUUUUUUGACAAUUUUUUAAUAAAAAUGAAGAAAAAAAAUGCUAAGAAAAUUAAAAAAUCUGAGAAAAUAGAUAAAUUCCUGAUCAAUGAGGCAUGCCACAUCAGCGGACUUAUGUUCCUCCUUUAUUUAUAUAUAUAUAUAUAUAUAUAUAUAUAUAAAUAUUGAUGAUUAGAUUUUUGUUAUGCAAAAAUGACUUUGAAUUCAAAAUAAAAUUUAUUUAGGUGCUGGGUGGUUGAAAAGGCUCAUAAAGCCAUUAAACACAAUGAUAGUGAUGGUGCAGGCUAUUCUAUUUAACUCCUUCAUCAAUUCUUUUCUUCCUAAAAAUUGUGAUGACUUUAUACUAUAUAUAUAUAUAUAUACUAGUGUUUAUCGGUCAAUCACCUAAAUUAAUUUAUUAUUUCAUCAUAAUUUUUUUCAAAUUUUUUGUGCCUCCUAGUUUUUUCUUAAAAGUCAGAAGCUUAAUUGCAUGAGUUUAGUUUGAAUUUUUUAUUUAGAAAAGGAUCUGAUAUACCCUUAACUUUGUUAUUUAUAAUUGAUAUAUCAUUGUUAUGAAAGUGGUUCAUAUAUACCCUUAUUGUUAUACAAAUGACUCACAUAUGCCCUUUUUCUAUAUCAUAAGUGAAAAAAUUAAUUUCAAAUUAAUUUUUUAUUAAAAUAAAUAAUCCAUGUAGAGGUAUAUUUGAUCUUCUCACAUUUUAAUUUUUUUUUUUAAUUCAAUAGCUAAUUUGAAUUUAUUAUUUUAAUGGUCAAAUUUAUUUUUUUCACUUAAUUUCUUGUAAAAUUUAUCGUAGACGCACCAAUUACUUUUUACAGAUAUAAAAACUAAAUUACAAUAUAUCCUCAAAAAAUUGUUUUAAAUUUUUUUCUUACUUUUUUGUCUUUAUCCAUUCACACUUCUUUCUUUAUAUUUCUCUUAUUAUUACAUUAAAGAAUAAAAGAAAAAUAAUAUAAGAAUAAGAAACUUAAAUAAUAAUAAGGGAUAAAGGUCUGAAAAAUAUUCAACUUUGAUCGAAUUUACUGUUGCGAUAUUAAACUUUCGUGAUGAUCUAUUACCUCCUAGACUAUUUAAUACCGUAUCUUCUUCUUUAUUCCUAAUUCUCUCUACAAAAAUGUUGUUGCAUGUUGUUUGCCCCAAAUUGGCAUGUGCAUGUGGAUUGUAACACCAAGAUUCAGGCUAAUUGUGAUGAAUAUUUUAUUAUUAUUAUUAUUCAUAAUCACAGUCUGGUGUAUUUGUUAGUUUUUGAAUAUAAUUUCUUUCAAGAAUUUUUACAUACGUGUUAGUAAUUGUACUUGAUUUGCAUAUGUAUCACAUCUCUUUGAUGAAUUUGGUCUUUGUUUUCAACUAAUUACUGAAGAACUAAACCAUUUUAUGGAAGAUUUUCAGCUAUCAAAGAUCAAUGAAAUUUACAAGUGGAUUGUGCACCCAAGGUGUUUGAUGUUAUGCAUGAACCAUCAUGUUUUGACUAUUCCGUGAUUUUUGUUCUUUUUGGGUUGCAGUAGCCAAAAUCUCUAGGAGAGAAUGAGCAAAGACUCUUCUUGACUUUCGUUCACCAUGCUAGCAAUUAUCAUCUUCUACACGCUAAAGAUACAAGGUAUGAUUGUUAAUUACUUGUUACAUAUUCUCGUUGCUUCGUUUUAAUCAACGAUGAGAUCUUGAGUAUUGUUCACUAUUACUGUCAUUUUUCAAAUUUUGGUGUUUGAUAUGUUGUUCUACUUUUUCUUUGAAUUGAGUAAUAGUAAAACUGCGAGAAUUAUCUACUAUAGGCUGAUUUUCUGCAUUUAGAAAAAUCUUAGGAACCUGCUCACUUUGUCUACUAACAUUAUCAGUCCCAUUCUUAGUUUGAUUUUUGCCUAUUAUCAACAUGAUUGGUAACAAAGGCUUUUUCUUUACUUUUCCUUUAGUUUCAAGAUGAGAUAUUGCAGCCAUGUUUAAGCAAGUAAAUCAGUAGUAUUUCACUUCUAAAAGGUAUGUUUUGAACUCCCUCUUCAUAUAUAAGAUUAUAAUGGUGUUUUGACACCAUUUAGUAAAAUGCUCACGAAAUUGUGUCCAGAAAUAGAGAGUUCAAGUUUGUAUGUUUGUUUUUUCAUGCUAUUCAUUUCUUUUUCUUUCCAUUAUUUUCUUUGAAUUUAAAUUUUUAUAUCAUAUAAAAUAAUAUCCCCUUCAUAUUUUGAAAGUAAUACCAUUCACCUUUAUUAAGGUCCCUGUGACCAAAUUCCUUUGUGAUAGAAACUGUUAUCUAUUUAGUAAACAGUAAGGUGAAAAUGUAGCAUGUACCUAAGAGAGUAUCAAUGAAAUCAUAUUUAUCACAAUGUUAUUACCUUUUUGCUUGUCAUCAAUAUACGACAAUUGCUACAUCUAAACAUAAAAGUAGUUGUGCUCUUGAACAUAAUUAAGUGGAGUUAGUAAUUUGUUAUAGUUUAUGAAAUAUGAUGAGGAAGCAGUCUACAUUUGAUAUUUCAGAUUUAAAUAAUAGUUACUUGACUACAAUUAAGUUAAUUUAUUCAUUAGUGGUGAGUUUACAUCUUCUUUUCUAUGAUUAAUGAACAAUUCAAAUAGAAGAGGUAAAAAUGCUGAUUCUUGUGACUUUAGAUAGUUCACGCGUUAUUACUUUUUUGAAUUUAAUUAGUUUCCGAAGACCAAAUAUCAUUCUAUGAAAAUAUGAAGGCCAAAAUGUUAUUUUUAUAGAUUGUUUAUAAUAUAUCCAAAUAUGAUUUUCUUAUAGUAAUUUGAUUAGCAUGUCAUUCAAAAAUGCCAGAUAAUCCAGUUAUAGGUAUAAUGACUUUGACAUCAGCUUGGCCUUGGAUGAUAAAACUCCUCCAUUACAUGUAUGUGAACUCUCUUUCAUUUCGUCUUUGUGAUGGUUAGAUUCUUUCUUUUCCUUAUCAGUCUUGCCUUAAAUAAAUAUGUAUUGGUGUUUUGUAUAGAGAUGUUGGAAAUGAUACAUGGAGUUCUCUGUUUUUUUAUAUGUUAAUUAUUUGGUUAACACUGCUAUGUCUAAUUGUAGUACCAAAAGUAAUGUAAAUGAUACUUUAUACUUGAGAUCAUUUGUUUGGAUGUAUAUUUGAUGUAUCUUUCUUAAGCAGACAUGUGUAUUAUGAUUAUGUUCAUAGUCUUUGGUUGUUUUACUAUCCGGAUAUCUAUUCCUUCAUCUUCUUUGUUUCCCCACUUUUUUGCUCUCUUUUGGACUUCUCAAUAGUUUUUCGAGCUCUCUUAAUCUUCGCAACUGGUGUUCUAAUAUUCAGGUUUCCUCUCUCAUCCUUGCCAACUCCUUCUCUCUUUUUUCAAUCUUCUUUAGGGCUUUCUUUUCUUGUCUGAUUUGACCUGAUGAGGUUGGUAGAGUAAGGGAUGAGGGUGAAAAGGAUAUAACUCGGCUCUAUUAUUGAAAACAAUGGUGAAAUUUUACUAUGAGUUCAAAAAAUUACUUUACAAAUUUCCAAGAACUGUCAAGUGUAAAUUAUAACAAAAAUAGAGGUACAUAAUGUUUUUUAUCACUAUAAAAUUUCUUGUGCUUUUGGAUCUUUUCUUACUUGAUUCUACAUACACAUGUUCUUUUUUGAAUAUUUGGAGUCAAAAUUCUUGAUUUUCUCCAUAACGGCCUUCUUUGGGAGGUCAUGAGGAGAUCUGAGAGGGCUGUAGUGGGCCGGAAUUCAUGUUUUAGAGAUUUUUCCUCUCUUCCUAAUUUCUUUAACACUAUGGAUUAAUAUUUUCAAAGGUUAGUAAUAUAUUUCUGUUCAGUCAAUUUUUUUUUACCUAUUACCUUGUUUUCUAGACUAGAUUCGAGUGGACAAAAAAAAGUUAUUUUAGCUCUUCCUAAAAAUAAGAAGCAAUGUAUAUUAUUCUAAUUUUGAAGAGUAAACUGAAGACAAAAAAUAAUUGGGCUUGCAGUAAGGGCAAUGAUGCAUAUAACAUGAGGUGAUUGUUUCCUAAAAUUCUAUGUUCUCACUAGGAGAGAAUAUGAAACAGGUUUUUAUUAAUACUUUUGUUUUAAGUACUUUAUCUGUGUAUUAGUGUGGUGAACAUGUAAAUUACUAUGUUUGGAACUAUAGUUAGAAGCAUCUAUACUUUGAUGUUAACUGAAACAAGUUAUAUUUCGUUGUUUCCAGCUAAUUAUGAUUUCACUGCUAAAAUAUUUAAUAAUUUGACUGUUCCAAGCAUUUAUAGUAUAGACCUAUAGGAGGCAUCACGGACCUAUUGAAAGAAAUGUCAUAUUUCUAACAAUGUGAUACUGAAGCAGUAUUCAAGUAGAACAAGGAACUUCUUCUUCCAAACAAGUGACUCCUAUAUAAGCAACCAUCAGUGUUUUCAACUUUUCUCUCGACUUUUUACUAAGAGCUUCACGCUUCUACAAGAGUUUGAGACCACUUGUUAUGUCAUGUGGCAGAUUGGGGUGUAUUUAAGUUAAGUUAGUCAAGUAGAGGAGUGUUUUUAAGGCUAUCAAUAGUUUGAGCAUGAAACUAAUAAUUCACGCCAAGUUCAGGAUGUUAAUACUUCUCUCUUCUUUAUAUUGCAUUAUGAGAAUAGCAUUCCAAAUUUCACCGCAAUGACACAAGAUAAGGGAAAUUAAUACCAAUGACUUUCUUUGUAGGAGUUGAAUUCUUAGUGAUAAGUAGAUAACUAAGCAGCUUAAAACAAUGCUCCACUACGAAUUUGUACCUAGCUACUCAUAACAAUGCACAUAAUUUUAUGACAUUCAUAGAAUUAGGCUUUUAGUAUAAAUAUACUAACUCGCAAAAAAGCUAUUGUUAAGAAUAUGACGCGUAAAUGAUAUGUUUGUAACUUUUUCCAGGGAUCUUCAUAUGAGACAUCUAACUGCCACCUAAGUCACUUGAGUUGUGGGUAUACGAGGUUAGACCAUACUUAGAAAACAUUAUGCUUUUAGUGUUGAUUCAAAUGAAUCUAAAUAAGGAAUUUUUAUUCAAUCAUUAUUUAGAAAUAUUUUUUGCUGAAUUCUACCUACUUCACAUGUACAUGAAAUGAAUGUGUUGGUUACUAUGAAAUGAAUGAUGAACAAGACCUACACAAUUGUGUACUAUAUGUUGUUGUUGAUAUCAAAUGAUAAAAUUAACUGAUCUUUUAUGAGAAACCCAUCAAUGAUUCAACAUCUUUUUUAUGACUUCUAAAAGUUCAUACAUUUGAAUUGCAUAAGUUUGCUUCGAUAAGUUCAUAUAUCUGAUUUAUGUGGGUUGCUAUGCAAAUAAUUUACCUUGCUGCUUCAAUGAUCAAUCUCAGUGAAUAGUUGAAGAGGUUCCUACAAAAAUUAGAGAAAAUCCAAGAAGAAGGCCUUUGUGAAGUAUUCCAAUAAAUAUGAGACUGAUGAAGGUAAAAAAAACAUACAAGCAUUGAUUUUAUGCUUGUGUCAUUCACGUAUUGGCUUACUUAGGUACAAAAUCUGAAUGUCAUCCCUCAUAGAUUUUUUUUUGUGGGAGGGAGGGGGGGGGGGGCAUGACUUGUAUCCACUUUUGUUGUAUAUAUAGAAUGUAUUUCAAUUAAAUAAACUCAUGCUUUCUCCAGAAUUUUUGUUUAGACCAAAGUUCAAGUUCUGUGAUACUGGUAGAUGUCGUAAGAAUUAAUUUCUACUUGACAUUUGCACCUCUUAAAGUUAAAUAAGUUGAUACUUGCAUGUUAUCCUCUUUCGCUAGGCAAAACAUCUGCAUUCUUUCUAAUCCACAUAUACUGGCUAUUUAUGCAAUGAAUUUGUUGAUCUUAUAGGGCUUAACAACAUGAUCAAGACAACAAGAGAUCACUUACCAGACAUUUAGGUUUGGCGCUGAAUAUUUUGAUUGAGAAAUAGUGUUGAGUACUAUUGGUCUAUGUCAGAGUGGAGAUAAUGUACAUAGCCUCUAUUUAAACUUCCAUAUGAAUUAGUGUUUAUUUUAUUUAUAUUGAUGUAAGACUGGAAGAGGAUCAAUAUUAUCUAAAGGUACAUGGACUUCUCUUUCACAUGUACAUAAACAUGUCACUUUCCUAACCAAGUUAGUGCAAAGAAAUUUAGAUUAAAUUAUUUAAGUUCUAUUCUUACGAUAAAAAAAAUGAUAUUGAAAUCACACAUGUUUG
rnacentral:lncRNA from 1 species